AGAGGGUCGCCGUCGGCCCUACUUGGCUCCUCUGGCCCAGACCAUUCUAGACGUGACCCUCAAUCCGGCGACUCAAAAAACCAAAAACCGACGUCACAGGGCUGAGAGCUUCCAUUCAACUGCUGCCAGUGACGUCGGAGCCGCCCUCCUACGCCGGGGCUACGGAGCCAAUGAGGCUGAGGUGAAGGGGAGCCAAGACGAGGGACUGGAAUUUAUAAUCAAACCAGAAGUGACUGGAGCCAAGUUGAGACCUGCUCAAUAGAUGGCAGUUGGAGAUUUAAAAACCAGCACACCCGGCACAGGCCACUGAGCACUAACUGGGGAGUUUCCCUCCCAUGACAGAGGAGAGUGGGAUGCUAUAAACCCAAGCUGACACUAUCAUCCAAAGGCCUCCAGCAGUUUCUAGAGAUUCCCAGCUGAGGGAGUCAGUGACCUAAUUCUGCUCAGUUCUAAUGUAACACCGGAGUGAAUUCAGAAUAUCUUGGUAUUGGUCUUACUGGGAUUGCAGAACCCCAAAAUUGGUCUCCUGAUGCAGAGUCUCCACAACUUCAAAGAAUGCUUGUAAACAACUAGGCCUAAGGUGAAAUAAAUCCUACACGUGUGAAAGCUUUUUGAAAAGAAUGGAACUCUAUGUAAACUCAAGAUCACAAAUGCUACCAGAAUCAAACAGGCCACAAGUUUGCUAACCUGAAGGUGAAUCCACUGUAAGAAUUCCUGCAGAGUCUUGGGUUUUUCCUUUCCACUCCUUCGGUGUGCCUUUAUUUUCUUGGGGGCUGCUUCCUCUUCUGAGAUGACAUCCACAUAAAUAAAUUUGAAGUUUCCCAC